AUUGAACGCUGGCGGCAUGCCUUACACAUGCAAGUCGAACGGUAACAGGUCUUCGGAUGCUGACGAGUGGCGAACGGGUGAGUAAUACAUCGGAACGUGCCCGAGAGUGGGGGAUAACGAGGCGAAAGCUUUGCUAAUACCGCAUACGAUCUCAGGAUGAAAGCAGGGGACCGCAAGGCCUUGCGCUCACGGAGCGGCCGAUGGCAGAUUAGGUAGUUGGUGGGAUAAAAGCUUACCAAGCCGACGAUCUGUAGCUGGUAUGAGAGGACGACCAGCAACACUGGGACUGAGACACGGCCCAGACUCCUACGGGAGGCAGCAGUGGGGAAUUUCGGACAAUGGGCGCAAGCCUGAUCCAGCCAUGCCGCGUGCAGGAUGAAGGCCUUCGGGUUGUAAACUGCUUUUGUACGGAACGAAAAGACUCUGGUUAAUACCUGGGGUCCAUGACGGUACCGUAAGAAUAAGCACCGGCUAACUACGUGCCAGCCGCCGCAGUAAAAC
rnacentral:rRNA from 1 species